UCGUCUAUAUACGUAUAGCAUAUCAAUAAGCGGAGGAAAAGAAACUAACAAGGAUUCCCUUAGUAACGGCGAGUGAAGCGGGAAGAGCUCAAAUUUGAAAUCUUCAAGGUUUUACCUUGACGAAUUGUAGUUUAAAGAAGUGUUUUUCUGUUGAAGUUUUGGUAAAAGUUCUUUGGAAUAGGACAUCAUAGAGGGUGAGAAUCCCGUAUUUGGUCAUUCCUCCUAGCGUUGUGAUACACUUUCAACGAGUCGGAUUGUUUGGGAAUGCAGUCCAAAAUGGGUGGUAAAUUUCAUCUAAAGCUAAAUAUUGGCGAGAGACCGAUAGCGAACAAGUACCGUGAGGGAAAGAUGAAAAGAACUUUGAAAAGAGAGUUAAACAGUACGUGAAAUUGUCAAAAGGGAAGCGUUUGACACCGGUGUUGUUUUUCCGAAAAUCAAUUACGAAUGUUUUGUUUUUGAGGAGUUAUGACUUCAUCGGCUUGCUCCUUUCUUUACGAAACUUUCUUAAUGCACUUUUCGGUUAACAAGUCAACAUCAAUUUCUUUUGUUGUAAAAGAGUAUUCGGAAGGUGGCUUUCUUUUCGGAGAAAGUGUUUAUAGCCCUAUACUUCUACAAUCGGAGAGAUUGAGGUCUGCAGCGUAGAUCCUUCGGGGUUAGAUACAUUUGUGCUAAGUUGUAGCUUUUCAUAGACAACUUGUUGACUAUGUUUAGUCAUGCGGCUUACUCGCUUAUGCUAUUUUACCUACGCCUUAGGAUGUUGACUGAUAUGUAGUCGUA
rnacentral:rRNA from 1 species